AUUUGGGGUCGCCGUCAUCGAAAACGAUGAGGAGGAGGAGGACUAUACUUACUAACGAUGACACGGCACCGCCGCGUAAAACAAACCUAUGCCGAAAAUCAUAGUUUCAAGUAUUUUGAAUGCUGUAGUUAGAAGACUGCCAGACAAAUGUGGAUUAAUAAGGUUGUGGAGAUAAAAAAAAAUACAUCCACACUACAGCAUCCGAAAUCUCAAAAUCAUUUGCUUCUAUAUCGAAGAGCUCUCUGGAUUUUUUUGAUGACUUUCCGGUCACUUAUCUUGACAUAAAUGCUGAAGGAAUUAAUUAUGUCACUUUAAAAGGAGACGAAGAGCGGGACGGUAUUAUAAAAC